GCGUGCGCAGUUUCGUAGCAAUACGGGAUGGGCGCACGGCGCACGGGUGCGUAACACGUGGGCAAUCUGCCCUCCGAUGGGGAAUAACCCCGCGAAAGCGGGGCUAAUUCCGCAUAACAUUCCUUGGACGAUGGUUUGGGGAAUCAAAGCAGCAAUGCGUCGGAGGAGGAGCCCGCGCCCGAUUAGGUAGUUGGUGAGGUAACGGCUCACCAAGCCAAUGAUCGGUAGCUGGUCUGAGAGGAUGAUCAGCCACACUGGAACUGAGACACGGUCCAGACUCCUACGGGAGGCAGCAGUGGGGAAUCUUGCACAAUGGGCGAAAGCCUGAUGCAGCGACGCCGCGUGGGGGAUGAAGCUUUUCGGAGUGUAAACCCCUUUCGACCGGGAAGAAUGCCCGCAAGGGAGUGACGGUACCGGUAUAAGAAGCCCCGGCUAACUACGUG
rnacentral:rRNA from 1 species